UCGAUUGUCAUUUGUUUUUUUUUUAAUUUUUUCAUUGAUUACUUGAUUAAAAAUAUAAGAAAUAAUACACACAGGGUAUGAUUACAUGUACAAAAUUAGCCUUCUCUAUGCAGAGAACAAAUCGACGCUGCUUUAGGUGACAAAGCAUAUAUGAUAUAAUAUGGGUCUGAAUCAACCUGCAGUCAACUAAUGAAUGUCUCGGACUUGAAUCGCUAUGCCUUACCUUCCCCAAAAAUGGAUAAGAGAAGACCUACGAAGAAGAUCCGAGUAAAGACUAUUCAAAGAAAAGACCGACUAUCACACCAUAUUGUCCAAGAUGCCAUAACUGUUCUUGCUAUAAUAAUAUAAUGUUUUAUAAUC